rnacentral:rRNA from 1 species
AGUGAACGCUGGCGGUAGGCCUAACACGUGCAAGUCGAACGGCAGCACAGAGGAGCUUGCUCCUUGGGUGGCGAGUGGCGGACGGGUGAGGAAUACAUCGGAAUCUACUCUGUCGUGGGGGAUAACAUAGGGAAACUUACGCUAAUACCGCAUACGACCUACGGGUGAAAGCAGGGGAUCUUCGGACCUUGCGCGAUUGAAUGAGCCGAUGUCGGAUUAGCUAGUUGGCGGGGUAAAGGCCCACCACGGCGACGAUCAGUAGCUGGUCUGAGAGGAGGAGCAGCCACACUGGAACUGAGAAACGGUCCAGACUCCUACGGGAGGCAGCAGUGGGGAAUAUUGGACAAAGGGCGCAAGCCUGAUCCAGCCAUACCGCGUGGGUGAAGAAGGCCUUCGGGUUGUAAAGCCCUUUUGUUGGGAAAGAAAUCCAUCUGGUUAAUACCCGGGUGGGAUGACGGUACCCAAAGAAUAAGCACCGGCUAACUUCGUGCCAGCCGCCGCCGUAA